rnacentral:tRNA from 1 species
GAGAUUAUAGCUCAGCUGGUUAGAGCGCCGGAUUGUGGUUCCGGGGGCCGUGGGUUCAAGUCCCAUUAGUCUCC